UACGUAGGGUGCGAGCGUUAAUCGGAAUUACUGGGCGUAAAGCGUGCGCAGGCGGUUCGUUAAGUCAGAUGUGAAAGCCCCGGGCUCAACCUGGGAACUGCAUUUGAAACUGGCGGGCUUGAGUGUGGCAGAGGGGGGUGGAAUUCCGCGUGUAGCAGUGAAAUGCGUAGAGAUGCGGAGGAACACCGAUGGCGAAGGCAGCCCCCUGAGCCAACACUGACGCUCAGGCACGAAAGCGUGGGGAGCAAACAGG
rnacentral:rRNA from 1 species